rnacentral:rRNA from 1 species
AUUGAACGCUGGCGGCAGGCCUAACACAUGCAAGUCGAGCGGAGCGGCGGACGGGUGAGUAAUGCCUGGGAAUCUGCCUGGUAGUGGGGGAUAACGUCCGGAAACGGGCGCUAAUACCGCAUACUAUCAGAUGAGCCUAGGUCGGAUUAGCUAGUUGGUGGGGUAAAGGCCUACCAAGGCGACGAUCCGUAACUGGUCUGAGAGGAUGAUCAGUCACACUGGAACUGAGACGCGGGCCAGACUCCUACGGGAGACAGCAGGGGGGAAUUUUGGACAAGGGGCGAAAGCCUGAUCCAGCCAUGCCGGGGGGGUGAAGAAGGUCUUCGGAUUGUAAAGCACUGUAAGUUGGGAGGCGUUACUCGCAGAAGAAGCACCGGCUAACUCCGUGCCAGCCGCCGCGGUAAUAC